ensembl:snRNA U6 U6 spliceosomal RNA
GCGCUCACUUCAGUAGCACAUAGGCUACAAUUAGAAAGACACAGAGAGGGUUAGCAUGGCCCCUGCAUAGGGAUGACAGAGUUUCAUGAAAUAUUUCAUAUUCUU